rnacentral:rRNA from 1 species
UACGUAGGGUGCGAGCGUUGUCCGGAAUUACUGGGCGUAAAGCGUGCGCAGGCGGUUUUGUAAGUCUGUCGUGAAAUCCCCGGGCUUAACCUGGGAAUGGCGAUGGAGACUGCAAGGCUGGAGUUUGGCAGAGGGGGGUAGAAUUCCACGUGUAGCAGUGAAAUGCGUAGAGAUGUGGAGGAACACCGAUGGCGAAGGCAGCCCCCUGGGUCAAAACUGACGCUCAUGCACGAAAGCGUGGGGAGCAAACAGG